GUCCAUAUCAAUGUCCAUAUCAAUUUCCCAUGUUCCAUUACAUAUCCCGUGUUCUUUCCUUCUUCCAGCUUUUACAUGCUAGCCUUUUAUACAAUGAUUCCUCUCAUCUCGACUCGUUUGAUGAAUGGGCGUUUAGUUUUUGCAACAACAUAUGCGUUGGGUUAUCUCAUAUCGGGAAACACUUUCUGCCACUUUUAACUUGAACAAAGUUGGAGAAAUAAAGUGAUGGCAGAUAUUGCAAGUUGUUUAUAGUGUGCCUGUAGAAAUGUAAAAACGCUAUGUUUCGUGAAUGCCCAGCCUGUAAAUCGAAAUAAGAUUUCGUAUUUAUUAAGCAUUGGAAGAUCACAAUUGUGACUUUGUGGGUUUCGUAAAGAACAUCAUAUAGAUUUCUUUGACCAAGUGUAAUAAAGCAAAACACACGGACAUAGUAUGGAUAUGGACACAGCAUGGGUAUGGACACAAGCAACACUACCAGUCGUUUGAAACGAUGAAAUGGGCAACAAGUCGAUUUGUUUUUCAUCUAUCAAUCGUUGUAAUUCACAUGCAGCUACAAGACGACACGUUAUAUUUAGGGUGCAAAGCAGGUAGAGAUUUCAUAGGCAUAUUUCGAAGUACCAGCUUUAUGCCAAAACAUGCAUGCAUGCAAGAAACUCCAUAACUUCGUUUGCGCAACUCCUGCUUAUCGUCUUCUUUCUAUACCCAUACUGNUGGAUCNAUGAAUGAACGUAGCANUAGAUACNAGAUAUAGCGCCACACUUUUGAGCAUAUC
rnacentral:sRNA from 1 species